GCGCGGGUGGCGAAAUUGGUAGACGCACCAGGUUUAGGUCCUGACGCCCUUCAAAGGCGUGCCGGUUCGAGUCCGGCCCCGCGCACCA
rnacentral:tRNA from 1 species